GGGAUCUGUCGCAUCACAGAAACUUCUGGUGUGUUCAACAAGAAAGAAAAGCAGUGAAAAGAGGAGUCCCUGGAUCCACAAAAAAAGGCCAAAAGUUCAGGGGUUCUCAGAAGUGAGAUGGUUCUCCCUCUCUGCAAGGCAUUCAACUGACCCUGAUCCAGUGUCAUUCCACGGGGAAAACUGGAACACUGGGGAGUUGGUGCUUUUCUCUUUUGCCUCUUACUUACAUUUCUGCAGUACAGUUAAGUCCCCUACAUACGAACCUUCAAGAUGUGAACUUUCAAAGAACAAACGUGCAUUCCCAUGUCCAAUCACGUAAGUUAGUUCAUGUUUCUG
rnacentral:lncRNA from 1 species